AAUCAACGCUGGCGGCGUGCCUCAGACAUGCAAGUCGAACGAGAAAGUCCCCUUCGGGGGAUAAGUAAAGUGGCGCACGGGUGAGUAACACGUAGGUAAUCUACCUUCGGGUGGGGAAUAACCCAGGGAAACUUGGGCUAACACCGCAUAAUGCAGCGGCACCACAUGGUGACAGUUGUUAAAGCGGGGGAUUUUCGAACCUCGCGCCUGAAGAGGAGCCUGCGGCGGAUUAGCUAGNGGUGAGGUAACGGCUCACCAAGGUCACGAUCCGUAGCCGGCCUGAGAGGGCGGUCGGCCACACUGACACUGACAUACGGGUCAGACUCCUACGGGAGGCAGCAGUCGGGAAUUUU
rnacentral:rRNA from 1 species